AACAACGUGGACUUCCCUCUCAUUCCCCGAUCCAUCCAUUUGUGCACGAAUUCUCUCCUCGACCCUUUGGCCUUAGCUAGAAUUAAUUCUUGGUUCCAUGGCCAUGACUGCUGCUUCCUACCACCACUCCUAUUCUCCAAGCUCCCAAUCACGCCGGCGGUCUUCGCAAAAGUCCGGGCUCCGUCGGAGGUGCCUCGCAAUGUUGAAGCAGCAGAAGACUCGCUUCUAUAUUUUGGGCCGCUGCGUGUCGAUGCUCCUUUGCUGGCACGCCCACGAGUUGUCCGACUGAUCGACGGUGGUGAUGUUUCCCGGCGAGCCUAUGCGCCGAUCCUUGUUGGCGGGGUGCGCAAGGCCUUGCUAAAUGAUCGAUAUCCAUCAGGUCUGCUCUCCGUGGCUUCGAUCACCAGGAUGCGGAGACGCUGCGGCAAGGGUUCUAUCAAAAAAUCAGGAAGGGCUCGGGCCCGAAAUGCAAGGCUUUUUUUUUUUCCCAUCUUUUUGGGCUUGGGCUCUGCUUUGUACAGGGACAGAAGGGUGGGAAAAAAGAGAAAGCACACUAUUUUUGGGUUGGAGGUUGUGAGACGUUUUAGCUAGGAGAGACAGAAAUUUGAUUUGAGAAGAGACUUUUAAUCUUCUGAACUAAGUCGGCGGAAGAGUUGCAGGUCACCCAGUUAAUUAUCUGAGAUCUUUAUCUUCUACUUUGCUAUGCGGGAAGAAGAAGGCAUUCACCAAGAUCAGAAAUCAUGACUGGAGUUAAACUCUUAACAAAACCAAACCUUAAUGCCAUAACUAGUUUCUUUUUUUAAUUUUUAAUUGUUUUAUCAUGACUGAAGAUGCAGAAGAGAAAUGAUGAUUCGGUAAUGCAGAAGUCUCACUUAAAAAAAUUAGUCAUCCGUGUGGAACUCCCCCAUUGCUCCUCUCGAUCUGCAGCCUGCGAGGUGUUAGUGCCACAUUGGUUUCUGCUUGUCCCACGAGUAUUUUCUUUUCAGUUGCUGAGUUACAUUAAUGCUAGUUUGUUUGAACGCUUGGAUGCACUUUGUAUGUGAACUCAUCGAGGGAUUUUCAAAUGCGCCAGCUUGAAAUCAGAUUCAGCAUUACCUCAUGUUAGCUUGACUUGGCUUGUUGUAAAUUGAUCCGCUCCUAACUUGUGUCGUCACUGAUCAAGUGAUCGGUGUUGGAUUCAAAACCCAAACUCUCCCUCAGGUCUGGUAUUAGGUUGGAUUGAAUAUUCAUUUAAUUAGCUCAAACCUAUGGAGUUUGCGGACCUAAUUAGUAGAUUAAUUCAUAGCAAAUAGGAGCAAAUUCAAUGUCUGUAUGGAAGAAACUAGAAGUUCCAGAUCCAGACCCUCACCGUACUCAUAAGUCCGGUACUGGGUUUUUAACCAUCAUCACCAGAACCAUUAGCCAUAGUAAUGGUAGUGGUAUCACUAGUAAAUUUGCUUGGUUGAUUACUGAUCAGUUGUUAACCCGCGCAUUCCACAUGGAUUACGAAACACCACACAAUGGUGGAUGAGGUCGCCAGGGAUCACAAGCAGUGACGUGAUGACCCGUAUUGUGUCCGAGAAGCAAUGAAUAUAUCCUACAUUUUUUUUUUUUUAAGAAAUGCAUACAAAGGAAAGAGCUGAUACCAGUACUAGCACAACUCAGCAGUUGCCCCACUUCGCUCCCUCGGCCUUGGGCUCGCCUUUUUCUCACCUCGAUCAUCUUUUGUCCGAGAGGGACCAAUCGGCCAUGGUCGACCGCAGACGCCAAUUUGAUUUUGUUUUCUUCUGAUCAAUAGCAGCCAAUGAGGCCGGCAGCUCUGGGCCUGGCUUGUUGACUUUAUGGCAGCCCGUUAGGAAGUCAAUAAAAAUCUGAGAUCAGCUUCUUGGACUCGGUUUAAACUAAUUA